rnacentral:sRNA from 1 species
AUUGGGCAUGGUAGCACAUGUCUAUAGUCCUAGGCACUGAGGAGGCUGAGGCAGAAGGAUCACUUGAGCCCAAGAGAUGGGGGCUAUCCUGGGCAACAUAGUGAGACCUUAUCUCUU